rnacentral:rRNA from 1 species
GACGAACGCUGGCGGCGUGCUUAACACAUGCAAGUCGAACGGAAAGGCCCUGCUUUUGUGGGGUGCUCGAGUGGCGAACGGGUGAGUAACACGUGAGUAACCUGCCCUUGACUUUGGGAUAACUUCAGGAAACUGGGGCUAUUACCGGAUAGGAGCUCCUGCUGCAUGGCGGGGGUUGGAAAGUUUCGGCGGUUGGGGAUGGACUCGCGGCUUAUCAGCUUGUUGGUGGGGUAGUGGCUUACCAAGGCUUUGACGGGUAGCCGGCCUGAGAGGGUGACCGGCCACAUUGGGACUGAGAUACGGCCCAGACGCCUACGGGAGGCAGCAGUGGGGAAUAUUGCACAAUGGGCGGAAGCCUGAUGCAGCAACGCCGCGUGCGGGAUGACGGCCUUCGGGUUGUAAACCGCUUUCGCCUGUGACGAAGCGUGAGUGACGGUAAUGGGUAAAGAAGCACCGGCUAACUACGU